GUGCUAAUCUGCGAUAAGCGCCGGUAAGGUGAUAUGAACCGUUAUAACCGGCGAUACCCGAAUGGGGAAACCCAGUGUGACUCGUCACACUAUCAUUAACUGAAUCCAUAGGUUAAUGAGGCGAACCGGGGGAACUGAAACAUCUAAGUACCCCGAGGAAAAGAAAUCAACCGAGAUUCCCCCAGUAGCGGCGAGCGAACGGGGAGGAGCCCAGAGCCUGAAUCAGCAUGUGUGUUAGUGGAAGCGUCUGGAAAGGCGCGCGAUACAGGGUGACAGCCCCGUACACAAAAGCGCAUGUGCUGUGAGCUCGAUGAGUAGGGCGGGACACGUGGUAUCCUGUCUGAAUAUGGGGGGACCAUCCUCCAAGGCUAAAUACUCCUGACUGACCGAUAGUGAACCAGUACCGUGAGGGAAAGGCGAAAAGAACCCCGGCGAGGGGAGUGAAAAAGAACCUGAAACCGUGUACGUACAAGCAGUGGGAGCACCCUUUGGGUGUGACUGCGUACCUUUUGUAUAAUGGGUCAGCGACUUAUAUUCUGUAGCAAGGUUAACCGAAUAGGGGAGCCGGAGGGAAACCGAGUCUUAACCGGGCGUUAAGUUGCAGGGUAUAGACCCGAAACCCGGUGAUCUAGCCAUGGGCAGGUUGAAGGUUGGGUAACACUAACUGGAGGACCGAACCGACUAAUGUUGAAAAAUUAGCGGAUGACCUGUGGCUGGGGGUGAAAGGCCAAUCAAACCGGGAGAUAGCUGGUUCUCCCCGAAAGCUAUUUAGGUAGCGCCUCGUGAAUUCAUCUCCGGGGGUAGAGCACUGUUUCGGCUAGGGGGCCAUCCCGGCUUACCAACCCGAUGCAAACUGCGAAUACCGGAGAAUGUUAUCACGGGAGACACACGGCGGGUGCUAACGUCCGUCGUGAAGAGGGAAACAACCCAGACCGCCAGCUAAGGUCCCAAAGUCAUGGUUAAGUGGGAAACGAUGUGGGAAGGCCCAGACAGCCAGGAUGUUGGCUUAGAAGCAGCCAUCAUUUAAAGAAAGCGUAAUAGCUCACUGGUCGAGUCGGCCUGCGCGGAAGAUGUAACGGGGCUAAACCAUGCACCGAAGCUGCGGCAGCGACACUGUGUGUUGUUGGGUAGGGGAGCGUUCUGUAAGCCUGUGAAGGUGUGUCGUGAGGCAUGCUGGAGGUAUCAGAAGUGCGAAUGCUGACAUAAGUAACGAUAAAGCGGGUGAAAAGCCCGCUCGCCGGAAGACCAAGGGUUCCUGUCCAACGUUAAUCGGGGCAGGGUGAGUCGACCCCUAAGGCGAGGCCGAAAGGCGUAGUCGAUGGGAAACGGGUUAAUAUUCCCGUACUUGGUGUUACUGCGAAGGGGGGACGGAGAAGGCUAUGUUGGCCGGG
rnacentral:rRNA from 1 species